rnacentral:rRNA from 1 species
AGCGAACGCUGGCGGCAGGCUUAACACAUGCAGGUCGAGCGGGCACUUCGGUGUCAGCGGCAGACGGGUGAGUAACACGUGGGAACGUACCCUUUGGUUCGGAAUAACGCUGGGAAACUAGCGCUAAUACCGGAUACGCCCUUUUGGGGAAAGGCUUGCUGCCGAAGGAUCGGCCCGCGUCUGAUUAGCUAGUUGGUGGGGUAAUGGCCUACCAAGGAGACGAUCAGUAGCUGGUCUGAGAGGAUGAUCAGCCACACUGGGACUGAGACACGGCCCAGACUCCUACGGGAGGAAGCAGUGGGGAAUAUUGGACAAUGGGCGCAAGCCUGAUCCAGCCAUGCCGCGUGAGUGAUGAAGGCCUUAGGGUUGUAAAGCUCUUUUGUCCGGGACGAUAAUGACGGUACCGGAAGAAUAAGCCCCGGCUAACUUCGUG